GAGAUUAGAGACCCUUUCUUUACCAGUUGUCUCUAGGGCUUGUAUGAAUUUGAGACUUUUUCUUUAACAGAUGUCUCUGGAGUAAAAGGCCUGUACGGGAUUAGAGACCCUUUCAUUAACAGGUGUCUCUAGGGUUCUCCUGCCCUCAGGAUCCUGGUCUGAGUCCUAGAACCUUAAUAUUUCAACCUCUAUGGUUGGUGGAGAGAAGAGAUUGAAAAUACAAGACAAAACAUUCAUAUGUCCAUACAUUUUAAAACCAGUUUUUGUAAUUCGUUCAGUUUUUCCUUUUGGAUAUACUUAUUCUUUUACAACAAGUUGUUUUGUCCUUUAAUAAAAGCAAAGGAAACUUAUCAAAAAGAUAUGUAUUUUUUUAUUCUUUUGUUUUCUUCAAAGGAAACUUAUUUUCAGUCCAUAAUUAUAUUUGGGAAGGAAGGUUCAUUAAAUCCUUUUUAACAAGAUUGUUUUGUUUUUGUAAAAAGUAAAGGAAACUUAUUCAAAGGAAACUUAUAAGGUUGUUAUUGAUAUUCCUCUUUCUUUUGGUGUCUUUUAUAUUUUUGUUUUUUAGGUGUUAGUUGAUCAAAUCAGCAUUGGGUGAAGGCCUUCCCUUAGUCCCCCAGCUUCUUCAACAAAACCAUGAUGGACCCCCCGAAAAAUGUGAUUUUCAUUGAAGGGCCUUUCACAUGCUAAAUUUUGAAAAAAACUUUUAUUUAUUUGUUUCAAAUUUUUGUUGGUUUAGUUUUAAUAAACAGACCUUUGUUGUGUAAAAAAAGUUUUCUUGGUCUGUUAUUUUAAAGAAGACACC